AUAUAAAUGUUUUGAGAGUAUUGAGAGCGGUGACAGGUCAACUGGAACAUUUCGAGGCUCUAUGGAACUAAAAUAAGUCAGUAACUUUGAUUUUCAAAUAAAUUUAGGUAUUAGUUAGUUUUUUCGGUUAUCUAUUAAUUAGGAUUCAGUUUCUCUUAGAUAUAAAGACAAUGAGUAUGAAAACUAUACUAAAAAUACGGUUCGGUUUUCAUAUAAAUUUUUUGAGAGUAUUGAGAGCGGUGACAGGUCAACUGGAACAUUUCGAGGUUCUAUGGAACUGAAAUAAGUCAAUAACUUUAAUUUCAAAUAAAUUUAGGUAUUAAUCAGUUUUUCGGUUAUCUAUUAAUUAGGAUUCAGUUUCUCUCAGAUAUAAAGACAGUGAGUCUAUCAAAACUAUACUAAAGAUACGGUUCGGUUUUCAUAUAAAUGUAAAUGUUUUCAGUAAGGUUAAAUUAAUGAAUCAAUGAAACAACAGAUGAAAUCAAUUUUAUACAAUAAAGUUGGCUUGACUCUCUCUUCGUACGUCCACGUCAGCAUGGAAGGAGGGCUUUUGCCGACAGAUGUCACUUUUUUUAAUAUUUUCCGCGAAGCUUUUAUGGUUUGUUUCCGUGGGCUAUUCUGUCAACAUUUGAAGUUAGCCCAUCUUCUUUUAGGGUUUGGCCCAUCUUCUUUUGAAAUCUAUUUUUUGCCAUCUGGUUCUCUUUCUCCUCCUUCGCUCUGCGUUUUCUAAAAUCUCAGAAACCAGCUUCAGCUACGUAACGUCCUCCUUUUUCUCCUUGAAUCGGAUUCCCCUUUAAUCUCAUCAUUUACGUCUCACCCACUACUCAUCCCGAAUUAAACAUCAUCAUUAUUAUCAAACGUAACUGAUUCAAGCUCUUCCCUAUAAAUUGGUUCUUAUCUAAUUGAUCAAGAGAAGGGAUCUCUACGCACAGUUCAACGAAAUCUCAAAGUAAAAAACUUCAUCAAGCUUUGAUUCCACCAAUGGCCGCUUCCGCUACUUGCUAACUUGAGAGUCGGCUGUUCCAACACCGCUGAGACGACAUGCUUUUUUUGGAUGAGCAGUAACAGUGUCCUCUCCGAUCUGAAGUCCGGUCGUGCUUCUCAUGACUUUUGACAAUUUCUUCUAGGAAAGUCCAAGAAAGACAAAACAACGACUAUAAACCUUAUAUGGAUGUUAGUGAGAAGAGUUCUAACUACUGUAUGUUAAGAUAAGCACAAGAAAUGGAGGACUCCAGAAAUGUCUGAAACCAGACAAAGACGAAAAUGAUAUUAUAGAGACGGAAUGAGAUUCGUUACAUUGAGAAUAAAUAAUAUUAACAUUGCUCAAACUCUAAGUUGAGAGUUUCAUACAGACCAGACCCUAAGUUGGUUUCUCACUUGCUACAAUCAGGAAAAAUGUAGCUCAAGGAAUUCAUACCCAAUUCAAACAACGCUUGAUCAUAUACACAAGACCAUAUUUGGCAGGAGGAGAUCAAGGAGUUGUGUUUUUGGUCAUUUUAUGUAAAUCACAUAUUUGCAACACACCAAGAGCUAUAGGUCACAACUAUACACUACAAAAUCACUGAGCUAAUCCAUCCUAAGUCUGAUAUUAUGCUCUAUUCCACAUUCCACCUUUCACCUUUUCUUGCUAUAAGCUUUAAUCAAGCUGGUUUGUAAUGGCUCUUUUAGUCACUUUGCAAGCAAAAAUCUGGUACAGGUUCUGCGACACUAUACGUUGAGAGAAAAUAGAAGAAAUAUGUAGACUUGUAGAAAUGGAGGUUAACAUGUGAGUGGAGAUCAGAAAGGAGACAGCUUCUCAAAGGUUGUUGAGCUCUUGCCUGAUAUCAACACUCUAAUGAUUUAUCAGAUUGACAUUUCUGCUCCUGCAUAGUACCUGCAGCAUUUGAGAUGAUCACAAUCGUGAUUUAUCAAGACAUUACAGGCCCCACGCAGGUGAAGAAGCUCCGAUAGGUUCUUCAGCAGAACACAAGUCUUAGAGAAGUCAGGCGCUAAAUAACUGGGCUAAAGACAAAGCAAUUGUGUAUGUUUCAACUGAACUUUUCAAGAACAAGAGCUUGCCGAGUUUGUAUGUUGAUGGAAGCCGGUUCCGGAGCGGUGGCGUAGAGGGUUUCCUUUGCCCGAUUUGAAACCCGCCAGAGUCAAAACAAAAAGUUGCUCCGAGACAUCAUCAUAGUGAGGGAGCAAAUGUACAGAGCAAAUUUAAGGAAUAACAAGCCAGAAGUAGUUGUCACAACAAUGACCUUGAGAACUAUUGCAGGACGUGCUACUAGAAGCAUAUGCGGAAGUUCUGGGCUUCAAUCUGAACACAACAUUGCUACCAUUUCCCUGCAACAUCUCACAUACCUAUUUCAACACUUUUGCUUUUACUAAUUUCAAAUAAACUAAUUUUCGUCAGCUUUGUAUCCUAAGGAAUAGUGUUAGUUAACUAUGUACCAAAUUACAGACUGAAAUUGUGAGGCUAAGUGGUCUUCAAAGAGAAAAUACAUAAACAAUAUUUUUUUAAAAAAAUAACGAAUCUUGAGUCAGAAAUACACUUGAAAUGAAGCACGUCUAAUAAAAGAAACACUAUUAUCAAUUUAAUUAGACAACAGCUUCCUCUGACCAAUCGACGUUCACUUGGCAAGCACAAACCCUUUCUGAAAAAAUGUGAAAAAUAAAAAUAAAUCCAAUAGGAUAAAACUACAGUGUUAUUAGGCAUUUAAAUUUGAAGCAAUCAACCACUACAUAGAAAACAUAACUAAUGUAUGCUUUUAAUUCAUCCUGAAACCAUGAAUGCAAUCAUAAAGGAAUUUUUCCAAUACAUAUAUCCCAUUUUCUGUACCGAAAAAUAAUAAAAUGAUGUUACUUAACAUAUUAUAGGGAUACAAAAGAAAAAUUAGCAUGCCAUCCCAACUAUAUUGCAAACAUAUGGGACAACUGAUGUUAUUAUGUUAAGUAAGAGAUGUUCGAUUAUGUUGCCUAACUAAUUAACUAACCCAGCAAAAUACAACAACCCAAAAAUAACAUAUCACCAUACAUCCAUGUCCAUGAAAAUUAAGAAAACAUAAAUAAAACAUAUAUCACAGCUCCGCAAU